CAUCACUACGCUAGAUGCAUAUCAAUAAGCGGAGGAAAAGAAACUAACUAGGAUUCCCUUAGUAACGGCGAGUGAAGCGGGAAGAGCUCAAAUUUGAAAUCUUCAAGGUUCUACCUUGACGAAUUGUAGUUUAAAGAGGUGUUUUCUGUUGGAGUUUUGGUAAAAGUUCUUUGGAAUAGGACAUCAUAGAGGGUGAGAAUCCCGUAUUUGACCAUUUACUUCCAGCUGUGUGAUACACUUUCAAAGAGUCGGAUUGUAUGGGAAUGCAGUCCAAAAUGGGUGGUAAAUUUCAUCUAAAGCUAAAUAUUGGCGAGAGACCGAUAGCGAACAAGUACCGUGAGGGAAAGAUGAAAAGAACUUUGAAAAGAGAGUUAAACAGUACGUGAAAUUGUCAAAAGGGAAGCGUUUGACACCAGUGUUGUUUUCUCGAAAAUCAAUUAAAAAUGGCCGGAUUUUGUGUUGUAUUGACCUUAUAAGCUUUCUGCACUCUUUUCUUGUCUUUUUUAAUGCACUUUUCGUUUAACAAGUCAACAUCAAUUUCUUUUGUUGUAAAAGAGUCAUUGGAAGGUGGCUUUCAUUUCGGUAGAAAGUGUUUAUAGCCUUUGAUCUCUGCAAUCCGGAGAGACUGAGGUCUGCAGCGUAGACUCUUCGGGGUUAGAUACAUUUGUGCUAAGCUAUAGCUUUUUAUAGACAACAUUGUUGACUACGAUUUAAGUCAUUGUAGCUUACUCGCUUAUGCUAUUUUACCUACGCUUAGGAUGUUGACGAGACUGUCGAUCUC
rnacentral:rRNA from 1 species